rnacentral:lncRNA from 1 species
GGGUGAGACGGGAGGAAGGUAGUCACGGGCUCAAGGCUGGAGGCUGGCGGGCUAGGGCUGAGUGGAGCGCCUGCUUAGAGACCUUCGGGAGAACUUCUGCCGGAACCCCGACGGCUCAGAGGCGCCCUGGUGCUUCACACUGCGGCCCGGCAUGCGCGCGGCCUUUUGCUACCAGAUCCGGCGUUGUACAGACGACGUGCGGCCCCAGGGUGAGGCCCAAGCUUGGGGGCUACAGAGCCGGGCUGGAAGCCUGGAACCGGAGGGCCGGGGCGAGGUCUCGGCCUGAUGGCUGCCCGCACCCGCCACAGACUGCUACCACGGCGCAGGGGAGCAGUACCGCGGCACGGUCAGCAAGACCCGCAAGGGUGUCCAGUGCCAGCGCUGGUCCGCUGAGACGCCGCACAAGCCGCAGUUCACGUUUACCUCCGAACCGCAUGCACAACUGGAGGAGAACUUCUGCCGGAACCCAGAUGGGGAUAGCCAUGGGCCCUGGUGCUACACGAUGGACCCAAGGACCCCAUUCGACUACUGUGCCCUGCGACGCUGCGCUGAUGACCAGCCGCCAUCAAUCCUGGACCCCCCAGGUUAGGAGUUGGGCCAGUUAUGGGUCAGGCCCUUUAGCCCACGACAUCCACACAGUCUGGGUUU